AGAGAGAGACAUGCGCGCAUAUCAAUAAGCGGAGGAAAAGAAACUAACUAGGAUUCCCUCAGUAACGGCGAGUGAAGCGGGAAGAGCUCAAAUUUGAAAUCUUCAAGGUUCUACCUUGACGAAUUGUAGUUUAAAGAAGUGUUUUCUGUUGGAGUUUUGGUAAAAGUUCUUUGGAAUAGGACAUCAUAGAGGGUGAGAAUCCCGUAUUUGACCAUUAUUUCCAGCUUUGUGAUACACUUUCAAAGAGUCGGAUUGUUUGGGAAUGCAGUCCAAAAUGGGUGGUAAAUUUCAUCUAAAGCUAAAUAUUGGCGAGAGACCGAUAGCGAACAAGUACCGUGAGGGAAAGAUGAAAAGAACUUUGAAAAGAGAGUUAAACAGUACGUGAAAUUGUCAAAAGGGAAGCGUUUGACACCAGUGUUGUUUUCUCGAAAAUCAAUUAAAAAGAGUCAGGAUUUUGUGUUGUAUUGACCUUUAAUCAGCUUCUGCACUUCAAUUUUCUUGUCUUUUUUUAAUGCACUUUUCGUUUAACAAGUCAACAUCAGUUUCUUUUGUUGUAAAAAGGGUCAUUGGAAGGUGGCUUUCUUUUCGGAGAAAGUGUUUAUAGCCUUUGGCCUCUGCAAUCGGAGAGAUUGAGGUCUGCAGCGUAGAUCCUUCGGGGUUAGAUACAUUUGUGCUAAGUUAUAGCCUUUCAUAGACAACUUGUUGACUAUGAUCAGUCAUGUAGCUUACUCGCUUAUGCUAUUUUACCUACGCUUAGGAUGUUGAUGUGAUACUGCGAGC
rnacentral:rRNA from 1 species